CCCAGGCCGAGCGGCCUCCUCAUGGCGGCGGCGAGGUGAGCGGCGUGGGGCGAGGCUGGCGCUGGUCCGACCGCCCCCGACCCGCCGCCGGGACGAUGGUGAAGUACUACCAGAGGGGGACCAGGGGCAGGAGGCUGAGCCCAGGUUCGGUCGAUCACAUCCAGGAUCCACCAGUCCUUCCUUUGGGGGUGAGGGGGACCAAAGGCACCCCAAAACUCCAUGCCUGGGGCUCUCCGAGAGGAAGAGAAGUGAAAAACCCCACAGAACCGUAUGAAACAUUCCGAUUGGCUGCCUUCCUUUCGAGCCACAUAAAAGAGCCAUAAAAUGAAAAUCACUUCCAAGAGAGUAAGCCUCCUGUGAUUCACGGUUUGCCUCCACCACGAACUAGAAGUUACUGGGUCAGGACUCAUAAAUGAAAUAAAAUAAAAUAAAUUCAG